UGCUGCCUGUAGUCUAGCGGCUAAGGCAAAUGACUGGGAUCCCUGGGGUUGGUGGUUCAAGUCCAGCCACAGCAA